rnacentral:rRNA from 1 species
AUGGCUGCAGAUUAUUCGAAGAACGAUCCCUUUGAGAGGAAUGUGGAACAGGCAAUAACAACCCUGAAGAAAGGAACACACUUGUUGAAAUAUGGGUGGCGGGGAAAACCAAAAUUCUGCCCAUUCAGACUUUCCAAUGAUGAGACCAUGCUCAUCUGGUACUCGGGGCGAAUGGAGAAGAAGCUAAACCUUAUUCAAGUAUCGAAAAUAAUACCUGGACAGCGUACGGCUAUCUUCCUGAGACAUCCAAGACCUGAUAAAGAGCAUCAAUCAUUCUCCCUUAUAUAUGGGCAGAGAUCACUGGAUCUGAUCUGCAAAGAUAAGGACGAGGCAGAAGCCUGGUUCGUUGCUUUAAAGGCAAUUAUUUCACGACGAAACUGUAAGAAGUUGACAACAGAAACAAAAAAUGAUAAACCAUCUUAUUGCCCAAUUAACCAGAUGCAUGGAGAUUUACCAUUGGCAUCUUCUUGUUAUAGUACUGAUGUUGGAAAAAAGGUAUCGAAAGGUGUCCAACAGUGCGCCACAAAUCAUGAUGCUCGUCCAUUUGCCAAUUUUGGGAAUAUUUUUUCUGACGUGAUAUUAUACACCGGGCAGGAGAGGAGUAGAGUUAGUACAGGUUCAGUUAGUUCUUCUAACUCCAGUAUAUCUGGAAGUGCAGAUACCUCAGAUGGGGGAGUAGCUGUCGAUAAUAACCUCAGAGUUAGCUAUUCAAGUGCAGUAAGUUCAUGCAGCUAUGGCUCAGGUGAUGAUUUUGAUGCAAUGGGGGAUGUUCUCCUUUGGGGCAAGGGAGUAGGUGAUGGCACGCUUGCUUAUUCUUCACAUUUAUCUGGAAACUUGUAUGGACCUAGAAUUGAUGCAUCUUUACCAAAGGCACUGGAAUCAACAGUUUUGCUGGAUAUUCACAAAAUAGCUUGUGGGAGUAAGCAUUCGGUUCUGGUUACUAAACAAGGAGAAAUGUAUAGUUGGGGUGAAGAGUCAGGUGGUAGGCUUGGGCAUGGAGUUGAUACCAAUCUUACCCACCCUAAGCUUAUUAGUACCUUGAGUGGAAUUAAUAUUGAAUCUGUUGCAUGCGGGGAAUUUCAUACUUGUGCUGUUUCUUUUUGUGGGGAUCUCUACACCUGGGGUGAUGGAAUGCACAAUUUUGGUCUUCUUGGUCAUGGGAAUGAUACUGCUCAUUGGAUUCCAAAAAAGGUCUGUGGUCCAUUGGAAGGAUUGCAUAUCUCAUCGGUAUCAUGUGGACCUUGGCACACAGCCGUAGUGACUUCAACGGGCCAGUUGUUCACUUUUGGCGAUGGAGUAUUUGGUGCAUUGGGCCAUGGAGAUCGCCAAAGCACAAAUGUUGCAAGGGAAGUGAGCUCUCUAAGAGGCUUACAUACUGUACGUGCAGCUUGUGGUGCUUGGCAUACAGUUGCAAUAGUUGAGGUUGUAGAUUCUCUAAAUUCUGCCACAUCUUGUAAACUAUUCACAUGGGGAGAUGGCAAUAAAGGUCAGCUUGGACAUGCUGACAGGGAAACCAGACUCAUCCCAGCCUGUGUGGAAUCACUUCGUAAGCUUAGUUUUUGCCAAGUAGCUUGUGGCUAUGACUUUACGGCGGCCUUGUCAACUUCUGGGCAAGUGUACACAAUGGGCAGUAAUGCUUUUGGACAACUUGGAAAUCCGACGAUUGAUGGGAAGCACCCCACUGUUGUUAAAGGGAGCAUCUUCAGCAGUUGUGUUGAAGAGAUAGCCUGUGGUUCCCAUCAUGUUGCUCUGCUGACUUCUAAAGCUAGAGUUUAUACUUGGGGCAAGGGUGCGAAUGGUCGUUUAGGGCAUGGCAAUAAUUUUGAUCGGAAUACUCCAACUCUUGUUGAGGCUUUGAAAGAUAAGCAAGUGAAGAGUGUGGCAUGUGGUACAGAUUUCACUGCUGUUAUAUGUUUCCAUAGGUGCACAUCUGGUUUGGAUCAGUCACUAUGCUCUGGCUGUCGUUUGCAAUUUAGUUUUAUAAGAAAGAGGCAUAACUGUUAUAACUGUGGCUUAGUAUAUUGCAAAGCAUGCAGCAUGAGAAAAUCAACAAAAGCUUCUUUGGCUCCAAAUUCGAACAAACCAUAUCGGGUAUGUGAUGAGUGCUGCACCAAACUUAAUACGGCCGGGGAUGCUAAAAAACUGCAGAACUCAAAGCCUCUUGAUGGAAACCCACAUCCUUUAUCCAGUGAAGCAACUGAUAGAGAAAACACAGUUAAGAGUUUGCGAGUGCGUCUAUCUAGGUUUUUGACCAUGGAAUCAUUCAAGCCUGAAGGUAAAUACUCGAGGAAUAACAGCCGGUUUCCUCUUCAUCAUUCAGGAAACUUAAGCCUUGGUAGCAUAGGCCAUUCCAAGGAGUUGGCUUCUUUGUGCAUUCCUACCUCGACGGCAUUACCCCUGUCCCGUGGUCCGAUUUCACCACAUCCUACUAAUAGAUUAACUACAUCUGUCCUAACAUCACCAGACUCUGCCUGUGCGUAUCCGUCAAACAAAAAUAUGACUGAAGAAGUUGCUACAUUACAAUCACAGGUGAAAGAGCUGACAUGUAAGUCUGAAUUACUUGAAGCAGAACUUGACAGAACUAAUAAUCAGUUAAGAGAGGCCAGGACUACUGCUGCUGAGGAGAACUUGAAGUGCAAAGCAGCAAAAGAAGUUAUCAGUUCCCUUACUACUAAGAUCAGAAGUAUAACCGAAAGAACACCCGAAGAGUGUCCUGUCAACGACACCUGGACCAGUCAAGUAUCUAAGUUGUUAGGAAGUCAUUUCUGCGAGAAUCAUUUGAACGAUGUUUCAAGGUCACCUGAUUCCAGCGCCCACCUGGCUCAUCAGUCGCCUUGCAAAGGGAACAGCAUUGUAGCAGACAUGGAAUGGACUGAACAGGUUGAACGUGGUGUAUACAUCACGCUAUUUCGCUCACCAGCAGGUCAUAAAUACCUCAGGCGUGUCCGUUUUAGCAAGAGGCAUUUCACGGAACAACAAGCAGAGCGAUGGUGGGCCGAGCACCGGCCAACUCUACACCAGCAGUAUGGUAUCCUGACUGGAGACAGUAUCAUCCCGUCGUGA